GACCCUCCUGAAAAAUGGGAUUUUACUUUAUGCUCAGCACCCUCCUGAAAAAUGGGACUUCACUUUCUGCUCAGGAUCCUCCUGAAAAAUGGGAUUUCACUUUCUGUUCAGGACCCUCCUGAAAAAUGGAAAUUUACUUUAUGUUCAGGACCCUCCUAAAAAAUGGAAUUUUACUUUCAGUUCAGGACCUUCCUGAAAAAUGAGANNNNNNNNNNNNNNNNNNNNNNNNNNNNNNNNNNNNNNNNNNNNNNNNNNNNNNNNNNNNNNNNNNNNNNNNNNNNNNNNNNNNNNNNNNNNNNNNNNNNNNNNNNNNNNNNNNNNNNNNNNNNNNNNNNNNNNNNNNNAAAUUUACUUUAUGUUCAGGACCCUCCUGAAAAAUGGAAUUUUACUUUCAAUUCAGGCCCCUCCUGAAAAAUGGGAAUUUACUUUAUGUUCAGGUCUCUCCUGAAAGAUGGGACUUUACUUUCUGCUCAGGACCCUCCUGAAAAAUGAGAUUUUACUUUCAGUUCAGGACCCUCCUGAAUAAUGAGAAUUUACUGGACCCUCCUGAAAAAUGGGAAUUUUUUUUAUGUUCAGGACCCUCCUGAAAAAUGGGACUUUACUUUCUGUUCAGGACUCUCCUAAAAAAUGGGAUUUUAUUAUCUGUUCAGGGCCCUCCUGAAAAAUGGGAUUUCACUUUCUGCUCAGGACCGUUAUGAAAAAUGGGAAUUUACUUUAUGUUCAGGACCCUCCUGAAAAAUGAAAUUUUACUUUCAGUUCAGGCACCUCCUGAAAAAUGGGAAUUUACUUUAUGUUCAGGAUCCUCCUGAAAAAUGAGAAUUUACUUUAUGUUCAGGACCCUCCUGAAAAAUGGGAUUUUACUUUCAGUUCAAGACCCUCCUAAAAAAUAGGAAUUUACUUUAUGUUUAGGACCUCCUAAAAAAUGAGAUUGUACUUUCAGUUCAGGAACCUCAUGAAAAAUGGGAUUUUACUUUCAGUUCAGGCCCCUCGUGAAAAUGGGACAUUACUUUCAAAAAUGAUGAAAUCCUUCUUUAUUAUAAUCUUUGUUUGGGAUAAUUUUCAUUCUAGUUUUGAUUUUGGUUUCAGGAGCCCGCCUGAAGAACAGGGUAAGAAAAUGGUAAGUCGGGAUCCCGCCCGAAGAACUAGGUGAUGAAAUGAGAAAUUGAAGAAAUUGCAAGUUAGGAACCCGCCUGAAGAACAAGGCGAAUAAAUGAAAAGUCAAGCAAAAUGGUGAAGAAAUUGAAAGUUAAGCAAUGAGGUGAAACAAUUGAAAGCCAAACAACAAGUUGAAGAAAUUGCAAAUCAGGAGCCCGCCUGAAGAAUAGGGUAAUGAAGUAGCAAGUCAAGAGUCCAACAGGAAAGCUGCAUAGAUAGGAUUUUGUAAUUUCAAUUAUGUUUUAACUUGUAAUUUUCAUUUUGAUGUAAUGACAGAGCCGCGGAUCGGAAUCUCGAUAGAACCUCACUCGACUCUCCAACCCGGUAUUGUCCUUUUCUUUCAAAUCUUUUGAGAUACCGGUCAUUUGAUUCCUCUAUAAUUUGGGUAGGUAGGAUGUCCUAAGUCAAGAUUCGAUUGUCCUUCUUCUUUCUGUUUCUUCCUUUGAAUAAUAGUCGGGACAAAAUUUUGUCUUAUUGUCUACUUCUUUGUCUGAAAACACUUCAUGUUUACAUUCAAAGGGGGCAUGAUGUAAACACCUAAUUUCGUCUCUCCCCGAUAACAUUUUUACCCAAUUUUACCUUAUCCUACCGUGUACCCUCAUCCAUGUUAUUAUACCUCUACAAAAUGACAAAAACUAACAACUCCCUAAUUAAUUUUAUCUUAUCCUAAUAACCUACCCCAUACCCCUAUCCUAUCUCACCUACCCCUAAUCACCCUCCCUCACGUUUUUAGUCUUUUUUUUUACACAAUACAAAGACAACAAAAAGAGGCUCCCAGGGGAAUAGACCAUCACAUAUAGAGACAAUUCUCUAUGGGCCCACAGAACAAUAUAUAUUUAUUCACCAUUGAAUAGAUUCAUUCACAGAGAUAUAGGGGUGGGCCCCGUGAUUUUCUCCAUUCUCAUCAGUAUACUAAACUCUCACAGUAACCGACUAAUGGACUCCACCUCAUAGUAGCACAGAGAGCAUCUUCCUUUUUCCAUUUUUUCAUACGACACCACCACAGCACACACUGGAUUCACGAUUUUCUUUGGAUGCACACGCCAUUGCUCUCACCAUAAACGCACACGCACGAAGAGAGAGAUCGAAGCUUGAGGAAUUAGAGUAGAGAAAUCAGAUAGAAAGAAUAGAGAAGAGAAACCAGAGAGAAAUAGACAAAAAGCCAGUGAAGAGAGGUCUGCUCCGGCGACCCGAUCUCGCUGGAGCUCCGGUGACUCAUAAGGGUAGUUUCUACCUUCACUGGCGUCAAAAUCAUCGGAAAACAUCGCUAAUAGCGACCCACAAUCCAAUCGCUCAGAAAUCCGUCGAAAACAGUAACCCCGUCGACCGAAAACAUAUCAGCGACCAAACUAGCUGAUUCCGACGAGAUUAGUUUGGGUUCGACGAGAUUCUUGACACUGUUAUCUCGGGCUUUCGCAUUUUCAGUGAUUCAAAUCCGUGCGCGUCAUUACUUUUCACUAUUGAGGUGGUGUGAUUUGUUCGUGAUUGAGGUUCGACGUUGAGGUUCCGUUGAACGCGGUUCUAUUCGGGAAGAUCCAUUAAUCAAUAAAGCUCGAUUUGAGGUACAAUUCUAUCUCGUUCUUAUUUUGAUUUCAUUAUAUACACGUGGUUGGUUUGUGUGAAGCAUGAUAUGAAUAUUUGGGUGAUAUCAAUUUAUUUGUUUGGUUCAGUAGACAAUGAUUGUGGAUUGUUAAAGUGGUGAUUGUGAAUUUUUGGAAUUUUGAUAAUUAAUUUGGGGGCAAGAAUUGAAAAACUUGAUAUAAUUGAUGAAUUUUGGUUAGUUUGAUAUGUUUGACUUGAAAUGAAUGUUAAUCGAACUUGAUAGUGUCAUGAUAGGUGGAUUGGUUUAGGCAAACAUAGGUUGGAUAGGCAAACUUAGGAAUGGUGAUUUGUUUGAACGUUCGAAAUGAUUGUUGAAUGAUUUGUUUAUCGCAUUUGACUCAAUUGUAUUCAUUUGGCCGGGGAAUUCCCCGAGGAAAUUUGUAUUGGUUACUGGGGAGCACCCCGCGAGAUUGUGUAUUCAGAAGGACGUUCGUGAUGAAGGCCCGAGACAUCGGGUGAGGCAUUGGAGCUUAGUCUAGGAUUAAUUUAGAAUAAAAUUUAUUUUACGCAUUUUUUCAUUUUUGGAUUGUAUGAUUGGAUUGAAUACUAUAUUUUGGAUUUUUUCUAUUUCAUGUGUUUGGAUGCUUGUUUAUGUGUUUUAUGUGGUUUAUACGUUCUUAGUGCCAAAAUUAGCCGAUACGCUUGGCGAAGCGACCGUGGUCAAACCACGGGAUCGAGGGGUGUCUAACACCUUCUCCUCGGUCAACAGAAUUCCUUAGCCGGAAUCUCUGUUUGCAAAUCAGUUUUACAGAGUCAAAUCGUUUUGAAAAGGAUUUUUCAAAGGUGACUUGGCAUACCAGAUUAUGUCAAGUGGUAACUCUGAAUAAAAAAUUUAAAUAAUCCUUUUUCGAAACAAUUUUUUUUGUGUCACUUUAAUAAUAAAAAUCCUUUCAAAUUUAAAAUCUAUCUUUUUGGUGUAAAAAGGGGUGUGACAAAUAUAAUAAAAUAAUAUUUAAACUACUAAUUUAUUUAUUAAAAAUAAAAAUAAGAAUCAAAAUAAUAUAUGAUUAAAUAUAGUAUAAUAUAAAUAUUUAAUAUCGAAACAUAUAUAUUUUAUACUUAGGAAAGGUUAAAAAUCACGUGUCUAAAAAAUAAGGGAAUAUAUACCCCAAAUUAUGAUAACUAUUCAGAACGGAGGAAAUAUACAUUGGCUGGUUGGUUCUAUCCCAACUAUUGAUGCUUCUCCGAUCCUUUUCUUAGAUUUGAGAAAAACAAAAAGGAAUUAAAAAAAAGCUUUUUAGAACUUGAAUCUAGGCCAAAAUAAUGAAAAUACUUAAAAAGUAAAGCUAAGAUUUCUAACUUAUGACUUUUUAUUUACAAGUUGUAAGCCAAAAAUCAAUUCAAAUAGACUUUAAGUUCUACUUUUAUUCAUGAAAACAUUUUAUUUCAUCCGUUCUUAAAUACACUACAAAAAAAAUUGAUCGAUAAAUUAUGGCGGGUUAUUUGUCAAUUUGUGACCGCAACAAAAAGAAUUGUGGCAAUUUCGGAAAGUGCCACAAUAAGCCUUGCCACGAACAAUAUUGUAGCUGUUUUUCGAAACCUCCCUGACGUCUGUCACAAAAUGAAUUUUGAAUUUGUGGAAUUUUUUUAAGUUAAUAGGUGGCAGCUUAGAACCCUCGCAACAUGAUAUUAAUGUUUUAAAAAAAUAUUGUGGGAGUUUAUAAAUCCCCGCAAUAUGAUCACAAUGUCACAAAAAAAUUAUUGUGGUGUUUUAUAAAUCCCACAAUAAAAUACUAGUUGUUUUCUUAGAAAAUUAUGUGGUAGUUUUCAACCACUACAAUAUGAGAGUAAUACUUAAAAAAUAAUAAUUGGUGGCAGUUUAACUUCGCCACAAUAUUUUUGUUGCUUACUUUCUAUUUGAAACUUACAAUAGGAAUGAAUAAAUAAAAAAAAUAAUUAGUCGCAGUUUGCAAUGUUUGGUUAAUCCCAAACCUGACACAGCCAAAAACUAUCAUCAAACUCAUAAACAAGUAAACUAACCCAACUGACAAGAACCCAACUUUACUAAUUAUUGUUUAUUAAAAUGAACCUGUUUUUACACAGAAAAACUUAUUAGGUCUGUUGUGAAUACAACAUGAGUGAUCUUGUACGAACUAUGAAAUUUAUUUUGGGAUUGUAGGAAAUUUCACUAUGCUCUUUCUCUUCUUGGUACCAACGCUUACAUUCGAAAGGAUCAUAAAAAAUAAAUUGAUAGAAUAGUUCUGUGGCGUAC
rnacentral:lncRNA from 1 species